rnacentral:tRNA from 1 species
GGGCUCUUGGCACAGGGGUAGCGCGCACGCUUUGCAUACCUCAGAGUGAUACCAAAGUGAUGCAUGCGUGAGGUCGUGGGUUCAAAUCCCACAGUGUCCA